UCUGUUCAAUCUGUAUUAUCUGGGAGACAAGUUUGAGCUGUGUGGAGCCAGGAACCUGAUCAAGGAAGUUGUCUCCAGCUUCAAGAUCAACCAGGAGAACUGGCUUGAUGUACUCAAGGGGGUCAAGAAAUACGAGGAUAAUUACCUGUUCGAAGAUCUCUGUAACAUACUUCAGGAUAAAAUUCAAGACUACCUGAAGGGUGUGACCUCUUCUGAUCAAUAUUUGGAGAGUAUUCAAGAAUCUGAAAUCAGAAAUGGAACAGAUCAGACACAGGGUUUCAUCAAGUAGAGAUGAAGAAUUCCAAAAAAAUCAAAAUCAUCGAUUUACAGACUCAAACUCAGAAUUUGGAAUCACAGCUAAAAAGCAUAUCAAAUAGAAAAAAAAUAUUAAAAAAUAUACACGAGAAAAUAAGGAAAAGGCAAGAGAGAUCCAGAUUUUAAAGUCCUAAGCCCUGUUUAAUUGCCCUUGUCAUGAGUAUGGAGGGAGGAAUGUUCCCUUGAAGGACAUAGUUGAGUAUCAAACAUUGUGAUUAUAUAGAGUAUAGAAAUUGUUAUCUGGAGCUGAAUACAGAAAUGAACAUAAGACUUGAUUUUAUAGGAGCUGUUGUUUACAAGCUGGAAGCAUCUGACAUCUGGUUUGUGAUUGUUAGAACUUUGAUUAGUGGAUCAGUGUGUUGCUCUACAUCAUGCAUUACAAAAAAGAAAAAAACAAUUUUAGAUAUUUUCAUAAUAGAGUUAUGAAAGAUAAAACGGUCAGAUGUGCUCUUAUGGGGAUAUCAGUUAAAAAUGCUUACAACAAUAACUUCACAACGACCAUGAACAAUGAACGUGCUCUUGUGUUGGCAUUAAAAAUAUAAAAAGCAUAACCAUCUUUGAUCACUAUCUCAUCUUAAACAUCUCAGGGAGUGUUUCUGAAAUAUAAAGAGUAUAUUGACAAACUAAAUUAAGGUUAUAUUUUAAAAUACAAUAAAGUAAUUAAGUUCUUGCCAAAAACUCUAACUUUAUAAUCCAUAUAUAUCUUUGUAACCAGCUACGGAACAUGAACUGUUUAUUGUCAACUAUGCGAGAACGAAGAAAUACAGAAAAUCUGAUAUUCCUUAUAGGCAGAGAAAAUUAAACUCCCUUGAUAUAACCUUAUCUUAUUUUGUGAUAAAACCCAUGAUGUAUUCAAUUAUAUUCUUAUAGAAUUUUAACCAUAUUAUAAUAUUUAUUAUGAUCUUGAUUUAUCUUGAAUAAAUCUUACUUUACUA